rnacentral:lncRNA from 1 species
AUUCCUCAUAGAUGCUUCAUUUUUAAACAAAAAUAGUCAUAAAAAGAAUACUUCAUCUAUGGAUGAAUAUAGCCACAAUGAGUUCCUUGAAGGUGCUUUGUUUCUGAAUGAAAAUAACAACGAGAAGGAUACUUCAUCCCAAGAUGAAUAUAGUCACAACAAAUUUCUCGAAGAUACUUUAUUUUCAAAUAAAAAUAGUCACGAGAAGGAUGCUUCGUCUACAGAUGAAUAUAGCUGCAACAAGUUUCUCAAAGAUGCUUCAUUUUUGAAUGAAUAUAGUCGUAAUAACAGGACUCC